UCCGUGAUUGUGAAAAGUACAAGCCU
rnacentral:piRNA from 1 species